GACGAACGCUGGCGGCGUGCUUAACACAUGCAAGUCGAACGGAAAGGCCCUGCUUUUGUGGGGUGCUCGAGUGGCGCACGGGUGAGUAACACGUGAGUAGCCUGCCCUUGACUUUGGGAUAACUUCAGGAAACUGGGGCUAAUACCGGAUAGGAUCUCCUGCUGCAUGGUGGGGGUUGGAAAGUUUCGGCGGUUGGGGAUGGACUCGCGGCUUAUCGGCUUGUUGGUGGGGUAGGGGCUUACCAAGGCUUUGACGGGUAGCCGGCCUGAGAGGGUGACCGGCCACAUGGGGACUGCGGUACGGACCAGACUGCUACGGGAGGCAGCAGGGGGGAAUAUUGCACAAUGGGCGGAAGCCUGAGGCAGCAACGCCGCGUGCGGGAUGACGGCCUUCGGGGUGUAAACCGCUUUGGCCUGUGACGAAGCGUGAGUGACGGUAAUGGGUAAAGAAGCACCGGCUAACUACGUG
rnacentral:rRNA from 1 species